UCGGUCGAACGGUCGGAAUCGCUUCGUGAUUUUUAAUUACGUUUGAACCAUUUGGACAGCUCACACACGCGCUGCAAUGAGUCGUUUGGAGCAUCUUCUCACGGUGUAAACUGUACUUCAGAACACGGGGAACAGAAAAAGCGCUGCAAAAGUUGGAUAUUUACGUACAAUCCACUGAAACAUCGUUGCUUUCCAUGAUGGAGAUCUUAGUGCUCCCUGUGAUCGACUCUGAAGCCUAAAACAGUUUGUUCAACAGAGAUCUAGACAGCAAGGACCCCAUUACUGGUAGGAGAGUUCCAAAUCCCACCAGCUACCCAGGUCUAGGCACACAUCUUUCUGACACUAAGUGACAAUAUAUGUAUAUAUUGGAAAUGGGUCUCUCUUGGCAUUCCUGAUGCAUAUAUGGCUGAAGGGAAAUCACUCAGCGUCUCAGCCCUUCUCCUCUCACUCAGCGAAUAUGAUGGCAUACCAGGGGAGCCGAGCUUCGCUGCAGACACACAGAUGUCAAGAGAAAGCUCAAUUGGAAUUCAGAGAAUUCUCCAAUGAAUAAUGUUUUUUAUGAACAGAGUGGGUUGGUAAUGAAUUUUUUUUUUGACAUUAUUUCAUUUGUUUAAAUAAUUUAAUCAAUGUUAAUUGCCUAACCAGAAAUGGAAAAUAAGAUAUUCAGUGCAAUAAGAGUAUGAUUCAUUAAAAAUAUGGCAUGACACAGUGAUAUUAUAGUUUCCCUGAGGACUUAGUGUGCUAUUCAGCAUGCUUCCAUGACUAUAAAGUAGAUCAUCCACCAAGUGGUUAUUAAGAUAAACAUUUUUGAAUCUCAAUGAAUAGUGAAGAUUAUUCAUUAUUUGUUUUCCAAUUGUUUGAGAUGGUAUAUCUGGUUUUACAUUGCUGUUUCAUGAAUAAUUGUAUUUUUUUUUUUACCUGAAAAGCUUACAUUUGCCAAAUUCCAUUGUGAUAAUUUGCCCCAUAUAGUUUGACAACACGCACCGUUAUUGAGUUCAAUGAGCUGUCACUUUUUUUUUUUUGCAGUAACCUACAGAAAUACAACAUUUGACUUUAAGGCCCUGUUUACACCUGGUAUUAAGAUUAAGCGUUUUGGUCGAAAACAUCGUCUUCAAACCAAA